rnacentral:rRNA from 1 species
AUUGAACGCUAGCGGGAUGCUUUACACAUGCAAGUCGAACGAGUGGCGGACGGGUGAGUAAUUUAUCGGAAAGUGCCCAGUAGCGGGGGAUAAUACUCGAAAGAGUGGCUAAUACCGCAUACUCAUCGAACGGCCGAUAUUGGAUUAGCUAGUUGGGGGGGUAAAGGCUAACCAAGGGAACGAUCCGUAGAUGGUUUGAGAGGACGACCAGCCACACUGGAACUGAGACACGGCCCAGACUCCUACGGGAGGCAGCAGUGGGGAAUAUUGUACAAUGGGGGAAACCCUGAUCCAGCCAUCCCGCGUGUAUGAGAAGGCCUUCGGGUUGUAAAGUACUUUUAGCAGGGAAGCGUUAUCUGCAGAAUAAGCACCGGCUAACUACGUGCCAGCAGCCGCGGUAAUAC